UGCUCCUUCUCAGGGUCGACGUCGAUGGAGUCCAGACGGACCUGAGCGGUGCUGCGAGGCUGCCGCUCGUUCUGCACGGCUGCAGAUGAGCCUCCUCCUCACGCUGCGCUUGAAGAAGCCGCUGCAGCCGUUGCAGGCGUAGAUGCCGUAAUGUUUCCCGCUGCUGGUGUCGCCGCACACUUUGCACACCAGCGCCGGACUCAGAGCUUUUCCUGGAGCUGGACUCUUGGCUGCAAGUCAAAAACAAAACCGCACAAAGCCGCCGGUCCGUUAUGGUGCCAUUCAUCCGCAGACUGGGUAUUGUUUCACACACAAGCCUACCAUCUGCACCAACAGAUAGAUAAAAAGUUUGUGUGUCAUCUGUCAUCGUUGACUUAAACACACAUAUUUUCUAUCAGACAUUUAAAAAUUCUUUCUGUUUUUUUGCAGUAAUCUUUCUCCAUGCUUCUCUGUGUCUUUAAUAAUUGUUUAAAUAUACAAUUUUCAUAAGUUAAUGUUUGAUGCAAAUGAAAGAGAGUUGAAUUUUUAUAAAAAGUUUGUCUUAAACACUUUA